rnacentral:rRNA from 1 species
UACGGGGGGGGCAAGCGUUGUUCGGAAUUACUGGGCGUAAAGGGUUCGUAGGUGGCCUACUAAGUCAGACGUGAAAUCCCUCAGCUUAACUGGGGAACUGCGUCUGAGACUGGUGGGCUUGAGUGCAGGAGAGGAACGCGGAAUUCCAGGUGUAGCGGUGAAAUGCGUAGAUAUCUGGAGGAACACCGGUGGCGAAGGCGGCUCACUGGCCCGAUACUGACGCUGAGGUGCGAAAGCGGUGGGAGCAAACAGGG